rnacentral:lncRNA from 1 species
GAUCAUGCCUGCUGCAGAGGGGACACAGAAAUGGGUGCAUGCACAUUUAUGGCAGGAUCAGAGUGGAAUUUCUAAUCCCUGUAGCUUCGAAAUGAGCAGGACAGCUCCUCACAGCCUGUGUGUUGGAAACUCUCACUGGCAGUUUUGGAAACAAGGUGUGAUGAAGCCCUGGAUGGUUUCUGCAGCUGGAGGCUUUCACAGCAGCCACAGCCACUUCCCCUGAGCAGUUCUGACACUUGUGGAGCUGUGGCUGAGUCGGGAUUAGGGGCAGGGAUAAAAGCUCUCCAGUGGAGCAUCCCGAGGGAGCAGCAUUCCAAACCGGCAUUCCAAGGCAUUCCGAAGCAUCCCAAGGGAUUCCAAACCAACAUUCCAAAGUCUUUCCUUCCAGGGAGCCUGUCCUGUUGACAGACCAGCCCCGAUCCCUGCUCACCUCCGGCUCCUGCCAGCACCACACCCUGCUGGAGAGCUCCGAGAUGAGGGAGCCAGGAGCAGCAGUGAGGGGCAGGGAUGGAGCAGGGAUGAGCUGCUUGACGAGCAGGGGAAAGUGCUGCAUGGAUAUUGUGUUGUGCUUGGCUAUGAUAAAGCUCGUGUAUUUACACAGGCCAGAUUAAAUAUCUGUAUUUUAUAGAAAGAGAGGGAGAAGUUAUGCUUCGUAAAACUCUUCAAGGACAUGAAAGGCACUGAUCUAUUUAAUCAUUAUUUUUGUAACUGAGACAUGAGCCUAUUCUGUGGGUAGGGUGAGGGUUUUUUAAUGCCAAUGGAUUGCCAGUGUCAUUUCACAACUCCUCAUAUUUGUCACAUUUCUCUUACUUUAUUCCAACUCUGAAUAAAAAUAUAUGAGAAAAAGUCA